rnacentral:rRNA from 1 species
AGAACGAACGCUGGCGGCAGGCUUAACACAUGCAAGUCGAACGGUUGUAGCAAUACAGCAGUGGCAGACGGGUGAGUAACACGUGGGAACCUUCCUAGGGGUACGGAACAACUCAGGGAAACUUGAGCUAAUACCGUAUACGUCCGUGAGGAGAAAGAUUUAUCGCCCCUAGACGGGCCCGCGUAGGAUUAGGUAGUUGGUGAGGUAACGGCUCACCAAGCCUACGAUCCUUAGCUGAUCUGAGAGGAUGAUCAGCCACACUGGGACUGAGACACGGCCCAGACUCCUACGGGAGGCAGCAGUGGGGAAUCUUGGACAAUGGGCGCAAGCCUGAUCCAGCCAUGCCGCGUGAGUGAAGAAGGCCUUCGGUUGUAAAGCUCUUUACCAGGGACGAUAAUGACGGUACCUGGAGAAUAAGCCCCGGCAAACUUCGUGCCAGCAGCCGC